CGGCGCGUGCUGCCUGAGGGGGAGGUGCGGGCGUGUGAGGUCAGCCCCUGCACGCGCCUUCGUGUGCACGCGCAACUCUGCUUGAGGCACAUAUAUAAGCAACACGUGGGUAUACAGAGCCACGGGAACGGUGUAUGAAGCAUGCUGCCGAGAAGCUACUGGAUCUGCCCAGCUAAGUAAACUCUACAUCUGGAGAAAUGUGAGUGGAAUUCUCAGUGGAGAAGCCGCUUCUGUGUGCCUCCUCGCUAAGCCAUGCUGCAGCACUUGGGCAUCGCUAAGUGCUGCUGCUGAGGGAAAUGAGUGGUUCAGUGGUGUCUUGCAGUGAUCCCCUACACAGAAUGGGCUGCGGUGAGAUGCUUCAAU
rnacentral:lncRNA from 1 species